rnacentral:rRNA from 1 species
CCUACGGGAGGCAGCAGUGGGGAAUAUUGCACAAUGGGGGAAACCCUGAUGCAGCGACGCCGCGUGAGUGAAGACGUAAUUCGUUAUGUUACGCUCUAUCAGCAGGGAAGAAAAUGACGGUACCUGAGUAAGAAGCCCCGGCUAACUACGUGCCAGCAGCCGCGGUAAUACGUAGGGGGCCAGCGUUAUCCGGAUUUACUGGGUGUAAAGGGAGCGUAGACGGCAGUGCAAGUCUGGAGUGAAAGGCGGGGGCUCAACCCCCGGACUGCACUGGAAACUGUACGGCUGGAGUUCAUGUGAGGUAAGUGGAAUUCCUAGUGUAGCGGUGAAAUGCGUAGAUAUUAGGAGGAACACCAGUGGCGAAGGCGGCUUACUGGACUGUAACUGACGUUGAGGCUCGAAAGCGUGGGGAGCAAACAGGAUUAGAUACCCCAGUAGUC